AAUUUUCAACAAUCAUAGUAUUUUUUUUUUUGAAAGAAUAAAUGUUUUUUUUUUUCAAUUUCAAGCAAAAUCAGCUAUCCUCAGCAUCUCCCGAGCUCAACUGCAUUACUUGUAUGAUUUGUUUUUUUUUUAAAAAAUUUACCCAAAAAAUUAUUUAUUUUUUCAUAAAAUACCAAUCCUAAAAACGGGUUAACGCGUGUGCGGCGACGUUUUGCCGGACACGAACGCUUAGACGGCGACACGGCGCGCAACUUUCACUCAGAUAAAUCGCAAAGUUUCGCAGUCACAAUCUUAAUUUUCUCUUAACAAAUCUCUCUCCCCCCAUCUCUCUGUCUCAAAACCUAAAAAUUAAAAUUCAUUCACUCCCCCCUCCCUCCCUCCCUCCCUCCCUCACUCACUCACGCACGCACGCACGCACUAUUAUCAUUUCCGAUUUCGCCGCCAACUCCCAAAUCUCCCCCCCCCUCUCCCUCUGCCAUCCCCCUCUCAGGUUUCUUUCUCCCUCUCCAAUUUGAUGGAGGACCUGGAGUCUUGGAUGUUUUUAUAGAUUUUUAGAAACUUUUAAACGCAGCGUUUUCUAGUCGUCCCCGCACUGCGAGCCAAGGAGAUACGUCUUUUGGAUAUUGUUUGUCAAAUGUCAGAAGUUGAUAUGGCUGUUAUUAAACCUGAGAUGAUGAAAUCAUAUAUCUGGAUACAGACCACGGAUGGUGCAAUUCAGCAAGUGGAACAAGAAGUUGCCAUGUUUUGCCCUAUGAUAUGUCAGGAAGUAAUACAAAAGGGAAUGGGAUCCUCUAAGAAUUGUGCUAUAUCUCUACCUCAACGAGUCAGUCCUGCCAUGCUUAGCCUAAUUCUUGAUUACUGUAGAUUUCAUCAAGUUGCUGGCCGCUCUAACAAGGAACGCAAGUCUUUUGAUGAGAAGUUUGUUCGAAUGGACACAAAGAGGCUUUGUGAGUUGACUUCUGCUGCUGACAGCCUCCAGUUAAAGCCUUUGGUUGAUCUUACUAGUCGCGCACUUGCUCGAAUCAUUGAAGGGAAAACCCCUGAGGAGAUACGUGAGAUAUUUCAUUUGCCUGAUGAUCUAACAGAGGAAGAGAAGCUAGAGCCUUUGAAGAACACAACUGAUGAUCCACGGAUCCGACUUUUAAAUCGGUUGUAUGCAAAGAAGAGGAAAGAACUAAAAGAGAGAGAGAAACUAAAGGAUGUUGAUGCUGAAGAGGAGCAUGUGGAUGACCGCUCAGUUGAUGACCUCUUGUCUUUUAUCAAUGGAGGAGAUGGAGAUUCUAAAGGGAUUAAAACUUCCAAGAAUAAAAAGAAGAACAGAAAAAGAAAAGAUCUGCAAAAGUGUGCCCCUUCAAAUGAAGCCAUUGAAACGCCUAAAAAGGAGUCAAACGCUGCUAGUUCUCUAUGCCAUAAUGCCGAGGUCGAUCGCGAAUUACAGUCCAGUCUUGGUGAGAAAUUAAAGUUACAAGAUGCGGCAGGUGAAAGUUUUGCACCUACAGUGGAGUUUGAUGAUGUUGAUAUUGAUGAUGAGAUAGAUCCAGCUUUAAAAGAAGAAAUUGAUAGGGAGGUUGAAGAUUUUGCUCGAAUACUAAAUUCAGAUUGGCCUGAAAGGAUGCAGGAGCUUCUAUCUUUGGGUCAAGAGAGGAGACUGACACAUUUAUCUGUUAAUGGCAAUGGUGCCUUGAAAGGACAUGCAAGACCAGAUCCUGGGCAGAAAUGAAUAUUCCAGUAUGGAUUCUCUCUCGGACGGCCGAUGGCUGGAACAAUUUUGACCAGAUCCUAAUGCAGGUAGCAUUGACGGCAACAAAAAGAGGAUUGCAUUGUCAUUGAUGUGAAUUCACAUGUAACCAGAAAGGCAGGACAAGAAGGAAGCUGACAACAAUGAUAGUCACUUCUGGAGAAAUGGAAUACUUGCAUUUUCAAGGGAAUUAAGGGACAUUGUCAUCAGCUGAGUUAGUUAUAUGGAUUAAGAUUCAAACCUCAAUGAAAAAGCUACAAGCAAUCCUGGUAAGAUGAUGUCACCAAACCCAAUUAUGCUAUAGCCACCCCAAGGAUCAAACAUCCGUGGGAUUUUCAGUAGCAUUGGUAUACCAUCCUCUCCACUCUUAUCACCACGAGCUACCUGUAAGAAGAGGAAAGACGUGAAGAUUUGCAUUUUCUAUUAAUAUAUACAUUCAUUACCAGGAUCA